AAGUUAACAUUACUGGUUUUUCAUUUUCAUGUCACUCCAGAGUAAAAAAAACAUUUUAUCAUUAAGGUUUUUUUGGAGUGUGAUCAUCAUAUUGAAGUCAAAUGUAAAAGGAAAAAAAACAGACCCAGUCCUGUUCAGAGGUUUGGGCGUUGACACACAGGGUCCACCAUCAGGUCUUCUUCUACUCCUUCAGUUCUUCUGAAUGGUCUUCUUGUUCUCCGUGAUAGUGCUGCUGAGAAAAAGCUUUGAUUGUUUGGUUUAUGCCAUUUUUUGAUUGAGUAGAGGCAAUUUAUUUUUAGGCUUGAAGGUGCUCUUGUUAGAUUAGGUGCUUUUGUCAAAUUAGAAAGGUGCUUUUGACAUACCUUUUUGAGACCAGACUUUUUAACAUACCGUCUUUGCUUGUUCAAGAACCAGUUUUUGAAAGAAACCUUUUAAAACUUUUUUGUUUUUAAGAUCAAGUCUUUGGAAGCAACUUUUACAAAUCUUUGAAGAGCUUGAAAUCAAGUCUUUGAAAGCACGUUGAGAACCUAUUUCUGGGUUUGGAUCAAGUCAUGAAAAGCAACCUUUGAACCUUGUUUCUGGAUUUGAGAUCAAGUUUUGGAAAACACCCCUCAAACCUUUUUUUUUUUUGAGUUUUAAAUCAAGAUGAUCACAUCCACAAACAACGAGAUGUUCACCUACCCUCAGAAAGAUGACCAACCUUACAGCAAAAGCCAUGUCAACGUUGUCAUGCUGUUCUUGAAGUUCUCGUUGUCCUUCUUGUAGUUCCUCUGGAUCUUGUCUUAACUUUUGAGGUUUUUGCAGUUUUAACAUUAGCAUGAUCCUAAUACUAUUCAAGAAUCGAAGUUUAGCUUGACAAAUCAAUAAAGCACAGUCGAAUACUGUGCACUUGACAAGUUUAGCUGGGUUCAUUUUCAGCAUAGUUAUCCUUACAGUUUUGACAGCUGUUACUGCCACUGCAUCAAAGUUAACAUUACUGGUUUUUCAUUUUCAUGUCACUCCAGAGUAAAACAAACAUUUUAUCAUUAAGGUUUUUUUGGAGUGUGAUCAUCAUAUUGAAGUCAAAUGUAAAAGGAAAAAAAACAGACCCAGUCCUGUUCAGAGGUUUGGGCGUUGACACACAGGGUCCACCAUCAGGUCUUCUUCUACUCCUUCAGUUCUUCUGAAUGGUCUUCUUGUUCUCUGUGAUAGUGCUGCUGAGAAAAAGCUUUGAUUGUUUGGUUUAUGCCAUUUUUUGAUUGAGUAGAGGCAAUUUAUUUUUAGGCUUGAAGGUGCUCUUGUUAGAUUAGGUACUUUUGUCAAAUUAGAAAGGUGCUUUUGACAUACCUUUUUGAGACCAGACCUUUUUAACAUACCGUCUUUGCUUGUUCAAGAACCAGUUUUUGAAAGAAACCUUUUAAAACUUGUUUUUUGUUUUUAAGAUCAAGUCUUUGGAAGCAACUUUUACAAAUCUUUGAAGAGCUUGAAAUCAAGUCUUUGAAAGCACGUUGAGAACCUAUUUCUGGGUUUGGAUCAAGUCAUGAAAAGCAACCUUUGAACCUUGUUUCUGGAUUUGAGAUCAAGUUUUGGAAAACACCCCUCAAACCUUUUUUUUUUUUGAGUUUUAAAUCAAGAUGAUCACAUCCACAAACAACGAGAUGUUCACCUACCCUCAGAAAGAUGACCAACC